CAGAGUUUGCUGAAUCUUCAACCUCUGAGCUGGCAGCCCUGGACAUCUUCACCUGGCUCUGCUCCUCUGGGUACAGAUCCCUGCAACCAGACUGCUGGGGUAGCCAGACUGGGAUCUUUUUAAAGGAUUCACUGUGGGUAACCUACCCUACAGAGACGUCUUCUAAUCUCCUGUAGAUGGCCUCCCUGAGCUCCCAGACUCGCCGCCACAGCCACCAAGCCAAGCCUACUACUGCUGUCAAGCCAAAGACUCUCAGGAGACCAGCCAGAGCUCCCCCUCCUUUCCUCCUCAGCCCUACUCUAGAUCCAGCCCUAUGGGCCCCCACUCUGUUCUCAGCUCUUCCGAGGCUCCCAGUGGUGCCUGGAUGCCAAAGUCUGAGAACCAGAUAGCCCUGGCCUCCUUGCAGGCCCAGGGACACCCGAGCCAGACCAUGCUUCCCCCACCCCAAAAGUGGCCCAACACCUGCCUGGUGACAGUGUGGGGCAAGUGCAGUCAGCUUCUUGCACCUUUCCUCCCCGAGCGGCUGAAGCCCUGUGGAGAAGUGGACAUGGGACCACACCAUUAAUCCUACAACUGGCAUUUAUUGUCUAAGCCUACAGGCCUUCAGGUAGGUACCUCAUUAAAAUGGAGAUAUGUUGUAGUGGCUAUUCCUGGUUGUCAACUUGACUAUAUCUGGAAUGAACUACAAUCCAGAAUUGGAAGGCUCACCUUUGAUCCCGAUCUUGAGGCGGGGAGAUACAAGUUUCUAACCUGGUUCUUGGUAUAGAGAUCUUGAGGCAAAGUGGCUAUGAAUCCCAGGAGCCUAAGGCAAGGAGAUCUCUGAGUUCAACGUCACCUGGGACAAAACAAGCCCCAUGCCCAAGCAGGGUGGCACACACCUUUAACUGGGGCACACCUUCUGCUGGAGAUUUACAUAAGGACAUUGGAAGAAGGAAGAGUCUCUUUUCUUCCUGCCUGCCUGCCUGCCUCAUGGGACUGAGCCACUGCUAGAUCUUUGGACUUCCAUUCACAGCUGCUGCUGAUCAUUGUCGGGAGUUGGACUACAGUCUGUACCCGGAAAUCAAAGGGACACAAGCCAAAUGACUUAUUUUGUGCUGUGGUGUCUGAAUCCCCACUCCCAAGGCUGGGUCAGUCAUGACCUUGAAGCACGCAGUUGAACUAGUUUCCAGAAUCCAUUUUUCUUAGAGUCCCUUUCAGAGUUUGUUUGGAGACCACCUUUUCUGGUUUUAGGGAGAAGACCAUCCACAGUGACAGAACGGAGGAAAGACUGUUCUCACGAACAGGGACUCCAACCACUGCUACUCAACAUUUGCGCAUCCCCAGCAACUCUCCAUGUAUGUUAAUGGUGUUUGUUGAGAGACGAAGCCAUGGGCAAGCACUGUGAGAUCGCCGGUGAACUUUAGUUCUGGGACAAUGGGACGCACUUUACCAUAUAUCCUAUUAUAUUGGUGUCAUCUUUGAAAUUUACUCUUCAUUUCAACCCCUCCAGUUUGUGUCAGUGUUCUUUUCCCAGAUUUAUGCUGAGUCAGACUGAAAGUUUGUGUGCCAAGCCUUUAGACUCAGUUCCUAACCUUGGACAGUCACCCAGAAAAUGUGUCAUUCAGGCAGCAAGCAGGAUAGUAUGGUGUGAUUGGAGAGACAGCUGUAAUGUAGUUCUGAGCCAUGAGCCCGUGGCUGACUUCCUGCAGCAAGUUAUAUAUUAUUCUAGAGAGUUACCUCUGCAUUUUAGAAUAAAGGUUUAUAGACUAGAUUCAAGAUCAAUGUGGCCACCCAAAUAAGACUUGUGUGUGACAGCUCAUGUGACAUCCCAAUGUGAGUGGGAAAAAAUCUCAUGAAGUCAUCCUCCAAGAUAAAGUGCUGUGGGCAAUUAGUUUUUAAGAGAAAGAAAAUUAGAAUUUUCUAGGCAUAAGCCCCCUGAUAGGCUGUCUAGUCCCAAGUAGUCAUCCCUAAACACAUGUACUGAGUGAGUACAUGUGAGUGAUACUGUACGAGUGAGUAAUACUGUACUGGCUGGUUUUGUGUGUCAACUUGACACAAGCUGGAGUUAUCACAGAAAAGGAGCCUCAGUUGUGGGAAUGCCUUCAUGAGACCCAGCUGUAAGGCAUUUUCUCAACUAGUGAUCAAGAGGGAGGAUUCAGUCCAUUGUGGGUGGUGCCGCCCCUGGGCUGGUGGUCUUGGGUUCUAUAAGAAAGUAAGCUGAGCAAGCCAGGGAAAGCAAGCCAGUAAGUAACAUCCCUCCAUGGCCUCUGCAUCAGCUGCUGCUUCCUGCCCCGUGGGAGUUCCAGUCCUGACUUCCUUUGGUGAUGAACAGCAAUGUGGAAGUGUGAGUUGAAUAAACCCUUUCCUCCCCAACUUGCUUCUUGGUCAUGAUGUUUGUGCAGGAAUAGAAACCCUGACUGAGACACAUACUAAGUGGACUUAGUGAGCUGUAUUUAUACACACAUAUGUGUAAUAACAAUAAAA